rnacentral:rRNA from 1 species
AUUGAACGCUGGCGGCAGGCUUAACACAUGCAAGUCGAGCGAGCGGCGGACGGGUGAGUAAUGUCUGGGAAACUGCCUGAGGGAGGGGGAUAACUACUGGAAAAGGUAGCUAAUACCGCAUACCAUCAGAUGUGCCCAGAUGGGAUUAGCUAGUAGGUGGGGUAAUGGCUCAACAAGGCGACGAGCCCUAGCUGGGCUGAGAGGAUGACCAGCCACACUGGAACUGAGACACGGUCCAGACUCCUACGGGAGGCAGUAGUGGGGAAUAUUGCACAAUGGGCGCAAGCCUGAUACAGCCAUGCCGCGUGUUUGAAGAAGGCCUUCGGGUUGUAAAGCACUUUCAGCGAGGAGGCGUUACUCGCAGAAGAAGCACCGGCUAACUCCGUGCCAGCAGCCGCGGUAAUUC